rnacentral:rRNA from 1 species
CAGCAGCCACGGUAAUACGUAGGGUGCGAGCGUUGUCCGGAAUUACUGGGCGUAAAGAGCUCGUAGGCGGUUUGUCGCGUCGUCUGUGAAAUUCUGCAGCUUAACUGUAGGCGUGCAGGCGAUACGGGCAGACUUGAGUACUACAGGGGAGACUGGAAUUCCUGGUGUAGCGGUGAAAUGCGCAGAUAUCAGGAGGAACACCGGUGGCGAAGGCGGGUCUCUGGGUAGUAACUGACGCUGAGGAGCGAAAGCGUGGGUAGCGAACAGGAUUAGAUACCCGCGUAGUCCCUGUCUUUUAUAC